CGGGAUGUGGCGCAGCCUGGUAGCGCGCUUGACUGGGGGUCAAGAGGUCGCAGGUUCGAAUCCUGUCAUCCCGAC
rnacentral:tRNA from 1 species